UUACAACGACCCAGAGCCCCCACACAACACCACUGCAUAAUAUCACAAGUUCAUGGUUUUUUUCAUUUUCGGAUAAAAACACAAACACUGUUUUCUUACUGUUUAUUUUCAAAUUUUCUUCCCUGUGAACUUUCCUUGAGAUUUUCAACCUUUUUUUCUGCCCCCACAAUUCUCACACACCCUCUCACUUUUUCCGUACCUUCUGUCACUCAACUUGUGCGCUCCCUCAUUCCUUCCACUGCAUUUUUUUCUCUCUUGUCUUUGUUUUUCUUUUCUUCCCUUUUUUACUUCACACUUUCCUUCAAAUUCUUCUCCCUUUCAAAUUUCAUUACUACUAGUUUUUGUUUUGUCUCUCUAUUUCUAGUAUUUAUCAAGACGUGUCUAUCGCUCUCCCUUUGCUUUCCACUUUCUCUUUAUCCUCUUCUUAAUUCCUUCCCCAAACGAAUUUCUCUCUCUUUUCUUUUCUUCCCUUUUUCCCUCUCCACUUCUCAUCACUUCAAAUGCUAA